rnacentral:ncRNA from 2 species
AUCAACCUUCGGGGCGGGGUGAGCGGCGAUUUGUGAAGAAAAUCGCUAAGGCAACUCCCCACCGGUGGUACAGCCCACGAGCGCGAUGAUCUUAGUAUUCUAAGCGCAUGAUCCGGUGAAACUCCGGAGCCGACGGUAUAGUCCGGAUGAAAGAAGGUUUAG